rnacentral:misc_RNA from 1 species
GAUGAAGAACGUAGCGAAAUGCGAUAAGUAAAGUGAAUUGCAGAAUUCAGUGAAUCAUCGAAUCUUUGAACGCACAUUGCGCCCCCUGGUAUUCCGGGGGGCAUGCCUGUCCGAGCGUCAUUACAACCCUCAAGCUCAGCUUGGUGUUGGGCCCCGCCGCCCCGGCGGGCCCUAAAGUCAGUGGCGGUGCCGUCCGGCUCCGAGCGUAGUAAUUCUUCUCGCUCUGGAGGUCCGGUCGUGUGCUCGCCAGCAACCCCCAAUUUUUUUCAGGUUGACCUCGGAUCAGGUAGGGAUACCCGCUGAACUUAAGCAUAUCAAUAAGCGGAGGA